CUCAGCCUGCAGGGAGGAAGAGCCUGCAUCACCCCUGCCAGGCACCUGCACCCCAGGAUACUCAGCCACCUUCAUGGCCACAUCUUAACUCUCAGUCUGCAGUCAAGGCAGGCUUGGAAGCUGGAUCUGCCUACACUUCCCCAGGCCACUUACCGGAUGUCAGCACUCAGCCGGCGGCCAUAGUCCACUUCGCUGCGCUCCCACCCCUCCUCCCGGUCUUCACUGAAGCUCCUUUCAGCGAAGGUAGGAGUGGGCUGGACGGCCAGGAACUCAGAGCUGCUGUAGACCUGGGAGGCAAGACAAAAGAAUGUGGCUCCCCUCGGGACCCGGGCCCACCUUGCUGAACCGGUGGGAGCAGGAGGAGAACUGGGG